GACGUUUUAGAUCACCUCCUUUGGCGCGGAUGCUAUUAGCAAGUGUUUCAUUUAAUUCAAUUUCAGAUUUCUUAUGCGAUUUUCUUAAAUGAACGGUUGCGUUGAAUUAUUAUUUUUUUAAUACGAAUAUUUCAAAUUAAAAUCAAUAUUCAUUGAAAGUGAAAUUGUAUACUUAAAUAGCUGUUGUCAAAGCGUGAAGGAAGCAUUUGGGCUGAGACGACGCGAAACACUUCAAUUAUUUGAAAAGAAGGACAACUUGGCAAAAACUUCGACUUUUGCACUCAAGCCCCGACUCUCACUCGAGUUACAAUAAUAUAAUUUUAAUUAACGUUUUCUGUUAAGAAAAAAGCGAAUCUUUAACCAAGAUGCCGAAACCAGUUGCUAGCCAAGAGGAUGAUGAUCCAACCCCAUACCUGUUCGUGUCUUUGGAACAAAGACGAAUCGAUCAAUCGAAACCCUAUGACUCCAAGAAGAAUUGCUGGGUGCCCGAUGAGAAAGAGGGUUAUCUUCUUGGUGAAAUUAAGGCCACCAAGGGUGACAUCGUCUCCGUAGGCCUGCCCGGCGGCGAGACCAAAGACUUUAAGAAAGAUCAGCUCCAACAAGUCAAUCCUCCGAAAUACGAAAAGGCCGAGGAUAUGUCCAACUUGACAUAUUUGAACGACGCCUCUGUACUCCAUAACUUGAGACAGCGGUACUACAACAAACUUAUCUACACCUACUCCGGUCUUUUCUGCGUUGCCAUCAAUCCUUACAAGCGUUACCCCGUAUAUACCAACCGUUGCGCUAAGAUGUACCGUGGCAAGCGCCGUAAUGAAGUGCCACCACAUAUUUUCGCCAUUUCUGACGGUGCCUACGUUGACAUGUUGACCAACCACGUCAAUCAAUCUAUGUUGAUUACUGGUGAGUCUGGUGCUGGUAAGACUGAGAACACGAAGAAGGUAAUUGCGUACUUCGCCACUGUCGGCGCCUCAACCAAGAAGGAUGAAUCGCAAAAGAACAAGGGUUCCCUGGAAGAUCAGGUCGUACAAACUAACCCUGUACUUGAAGCUUUCGGUAACGCCAAGACCGUGCGUAACGAUAACUCUUCUCGUUUUGGUAAAUUCAUCCGUAUUCACUUCGGCCCAAGCGGUAAACUGGCUGGUGCUGAUAUUGAGACUUAUCUGUUGGAGAAGGCUCGUGUCAUCUCCCAGCAAUCUUUGGAACGUUCAUACCAUAUCUUCUACCAGAUCAUGUCUGGCUCCGUUGCCGGUGUUAAAGACUAUUGUCUGUUGACCAAUAACAUCUACGAUUACCACAUUGUCUCUCAGGGCAAGGUCACAGUCGCCAGUAUCGAUGAUAAUGAAGAAUUCCAAUUGACCGAUCAAGCCUUCGAUAUCUUGGGUUUCACCGCUCAAGAGAAACAGGAUGUCUACAAGAUCACCGCCGCUGUCAUGCACAUGGGUGGCAUGAAGUUCAAGCAACGUGGUCGCGAAGAACAGGCUGAACAAGAUGGUGAGGAAGAAGGUGGCCGUGUUGCCAAAUUGUUCGGUUGUGACACCGCUGAGCUGUACAAGAACUUGUUGAAGCCCCGUAUUAAGGUCGGUAACGAAUUUGUUACCCAAGGUCGUAACGUGCAACAGGUCACCAACUCCAUUGGUGCUCUCUGCAAGGGUGUGUUCGAUCGUCUCUUCAAGUGGCUGGUCAAGAAGUGUAACGAAACUCUGGACACCCAACAAAAACGUCAACACUUCAUUGGUGUACUGGAUAUUGCUGGUUUUGAAAUUUUCGACUACAACGGUUUCGAACAAUUGUGUAUCAAUUUCACUAACGAAAAACUGCAACAAUUCUUCAACCAUCACAUGUUCGUUUUGGAGCAAGAAGAAUACCAACGUGAAGGCAUUGAAUGGACUUUCAUCGAUUUCGGCAUGGAUUUGCAGAUGUGUAUUGAAUUGAUUGAGAAGCCUAUGGGUAUCUUGUCCAUCCUUGAAGAAGAAUCUAUGUUCCCCAAGGCUACAGAUCAAACAUUCGCCGACAAAUUGGUUAACACUCACUUGGGCAAAUCGGCACCAUUCCAGAAGCCCAAACCACCAAAGCCCGGUCAACAAGCUGCUCACUUUGCUAUUGGCCAUUAUGCUGGUGUUGUCGCCUAUAACAUCACCGGUUGGUUGGAGAAGAACAAGGAUCCAUUGAACGACACUGUUGUCGAUCAAUUCAAGAAAUCUCAGAAUAAGCUGUUGGUCGAAAUCUUCGCUGAUCAUCCAGGUCAAUCUGGUGGUGCGGAACAAGCCAAGGGCGGUCGUGGUAAGAAGGGUGGUGGCUUCGCUACUGUAUCUUCGGCCUACAGGGAACAAUUGAACAGCUUGAUGACCACUUUGCGUUCAACACAACCUCACUUCGUGCGUUGUAUCAUUCCCAAUGAAAUGAAACAACCUGGUCUUGUAGAUGCUCACUUGGUUAUGCACCAGCUGACAUGUAACGGUGUACUUGAAGGUAUCCGUAUUUGCCGUAAAGGUUUCCCCAACAGAAUGGUGUACUCUGAUUUCAAGAUGCGCUACCAAAUCCUGAACCCAAGAGGCAUCAAAGACUUGGAAGAUCCCAAAAAAGCCAGUAAGAUUCUGAUCGAAUCUACUGAAUUGGGUGAUGAUCAAUACCGUCUGGGUAACACUAAGGUGUUCUUCCGCGCUGGCGUCCUGGGUCAGAUGGAAGAGUUCCGUGAUGAACGUCUCGGCAAAAUCAUGUCCUGGAUGCAAGGUUGGGCUCGUGGUUACUUGGCCCGUAGGAACUUCAAAAAAUUGCAAGAGCAACGUUUGGCCCUUAAAGUUGUGCAACGCAACUUGCGCAAAUACUUGCAACUCCGCACCUGGCCAUGGUACAAAUUGUGGCAGAAGAUCAAGCCCCUACUCAACGUUACACGCGUUGAGGAUGAGAUUGCUCGUCUAGAAGAGAAGGCCAAAAAGGCUGAGGAAUUGCACGCCGCUGAAGUGAAAGUUCGCAAGGAAUUGGAAGCCCUCAACGCUAAGCUGUUGGCUGAAAAGACUGCCCUUUUGGACUCCUUGUCCGGUGAGAAGGGUCAAUUGCAAGAUUUCCAGGAGAGAAACGCUAAGUUGACUGCCCAAAAGAACGAUCUCGAGAACCAACUGCGCGAUAUCCAAGAUCGUUUGAGCCAAGAGGAAGAUGCCCGUAACCAAUUGUUCCAACAGAAGAAGAAGGCUGAUCAAGAAAUCUCUGGCCUGAAGAAGGACAUUGAAGAUCUCGAAUUGAGCGUACAGAAGGCUGAACAAGAUAAGGCUACCAAGGAUCACCAAAUCCGCAAUUUGAAUGAUGAGAUCGCCCACCAAGAUGAACUCAUCAACAAGUUGAACAAGGAGAAGAAGAUGCAAGGUGAGACCAACCAGAAGACUGGUGAGGAACUCCAAGCCGCUGAAGACAAAAUUAACCACUUGAACAAGGUUAAGGCUAAGUUGGAGCAAACUCUUGAUGAAUUAGAAGAUUCAUUGGAGCGUGAGAAGAAAUUGCGUGGAGAUGUUGAAAAGGCAAAACGCAAGGUUGAGGGUGAUUUGAAACUUACCCAGGAAGCCGUAUCCGAUUUGGAACGUAACAAGAAGGAAUUGGAACAGACCAUCCAACGCAAGGACAAAGAAUUGUCUUCGAUCACCGCCAAAUUGGAAGAUGAACAGGUGGGUGUUGGCAAACACCAACGUCAAAUCAAGGAAUUGCAAGCCCGCAUUGAAGAAUUGGAAGAAGAAGUUGAAGCUGAACGUCAAGCCCGCGCUAAGGCUGAGAAGCAACGCGCUGAUUUGGCUCGCGAAUUGGAGGAAUUGGGUGAGCGCCUGGAAGAAGCCGGUGGUGCUACCUCUGCCCAAAUUGAACUCAACAAGAAACGUGAAGCCGAACUCAGCAAAUUGCGUCGUGACUUGGAAGAAGCCAACAUUCAGCACGAAUCCACCUUGGCCAACUUGCGCAAGAAGCACAAUGAUGCUGUCGCUGAAAUGGCCGAACAAGUUGAUCAACUUAACAAACUGAAGGCUAAGGCUGAAAAGGAGAAGAACGAAUACUAUGGUCAAUUGAACGACCUCCGCGCUGGUGUUGACCACCUCGCCAACGAGAAGGCUGCACAAGAAAAGAUUGCCAAGCAAUUGCAACACACCUUGAAUGAAGUUCAAGGCAAAUUGGACGAAACCAAUCGCACCCUCAACGACUUCGAUGCCUCCAAGAAGAAGCUGUCGAUCGAAAACUCCGAUCUGUUGCGUCAAUUGGAGGAAGCUGAAUCGCAGGUGUCGCAAUUGUCUAAGAUCAAGAUCUCCCUCACCACCCAAUUGGAAGAUACUAAGCGUUUGGCUGAUGAAGAAUCUCGCGAACGUGCCACCCUCUUGGGCAAGUUCCGCAACUUGGAACACGACCUGGACAAUCUGCGCGAGCAGGUAGAAGAGGAAGCUGAAGGCAAGGCUGAUUUGCAACGUCAACUCAGCAAGGCCAACGCUGAGGCUCAAGUAUGGCGCAGCAAGUACGAAUCCGAUGGUGUUGCUCGCUCUGAAGAAUUGGAAGAAGCCAAGAGGAAAUUGCAAGCUCGCUUGGCUGAAGCUGAGGAAACCAUUGAAUCUCUUAACCAGAAAUGCAUUGGUCUUGAGAAGACUAAGCAACGCUUGGCUACUGAAGUAGAAGAUUUGCAAUUGGAAGUCGACCGUGCCAAUGCUAUUGCCAAUGCUGCUGAAAAGAAACAGAAGGCCUUCGACAAGAUCAUUGGAGAAUGGAAACUUAAGGUUGAUGACUUGGCUGCUGAAUUGGAUGCCUCACAAAAGGAAUGCCGCAACUAUUCCACCGAAUUGUUCCGUCUCAAGGGUGCCUACGAAGAAGGUCAAGAACAAUUGGAAGCCGUACGCCGUGAGAACAAGAAUCUCGCUGAUGAAGUUAAGGAUCUGCUAGACCAAAUCGGUGAAGGUGGUCGCAACAUUCACGAAAUCGAAAAGGCACGCAAACGUUUGGAAGCUGAAAAGGAUGAACUCCAAGCUGCACUCGAGGAAGCUGAAGCCGCCCUGGAACAAGAAGAGAACAAGGUAUUGCGCGCACAAUUGGAAUUGUCUCAAGUACGUCAAGAAAUCGACCGACGCAUCCAGGAGAAGGAAGAAGAAUUCGAAAAUACCCGCAAGAAUCACCAACGCGCUCUCGAUUCCAUGCAAGCUUCUCUUGAAGCCGAAGCCAAGGGUAAGGCUGAGGCGCUACGCAUGAAGAAGAAGUUGGAAGCCGAUAUCAACGAGCUGGAAAUUGCCCUGGAUCAUGCCAACAAGGCUAACGCCGAGGCCCAGAAGAACAUCAAACGUUACCAACAACAGCUUAAGGAUAUCCAAACCGCCCUUGAAGAAGAACAGAGAGCCCGUGAUGAUGCCCGCGAACAAUUGGGUAUCUCCGAACGCCGCGCCAACGCCCUCCAAAACGAACUCGAAGAAUCCCGCACUUUGCUUGAGCAAGCCGAUCGUGGCCGUCGUCAAGCCGAACAAGAAUUGGCCGAUGCUCACGAACAACUCAACGAAGUUUCCGCACAGAAUGCUUCUAUUUCAGCGGCCAAGAGGAAGUUGGAAUCUGAACUGCAAACACUCCACUCCGAUUUAGAUGAAUUGCUGAAUGAAGCCAAGAACUCCGAAGAAAAGGCCAAGAAGGCUAUGGUUGAUGCUGCCCGCCUUGCUGAUGAACUCCGCGCUGAACAAGAUCACGCACAGACCCAAGAGAAACUGCGCAAGGCCUUGGAACAACAAAUCAAGGAAUUGCAAGUCCGUUUGGAUGAGGCUGAAGCUAACGCACUCAAGGGUGGCAAGAAAGCUAUCCAAAAAUUGGAACAACGUGUCCGCGAAUUGGAGAACGAAUUGGAUGGUGAACAGAGGAGACAUGCUGAUGCCCAAAAGAAUCUCCGCAAAUCUGAGCGUCGUAUCAAGGAAUUGAGCUUCCAAUCUGAAGAAGAUCGCAAGAAUCACGAACGUAUGCAAGACUUGGUCGAUAAACUGCAACAGAAGAUCAAGACCUACAAGAGGCAAAUCGAGGAAGCCGAAGAAAUUGCUGCCCUUAACUUGGCCAAAUUCCGCAAGGCACAGCAAGAACUCGAAGAAGCUGAGGAACGUGCUGACUUGGCCGAACAGGCUAUCAGCAAAUUCCGCGCUAAGGGACGUGCCGGUUCAGUUGGACGUGGUGCCAGCCCAGCGAAUUGAAUUCGGUAUAGCCAAUGAUCCAGCGAUAAAAUGGUGAUGUGAUCAAACACAACACAUGAGAAGCAAAUGCAAAGAGAAUUAUAGUUCAUAAGCAGCCAAAAACUGAAAAUCUAAAAUAAUUUAUGAAAUUAAAAACUAAUUACGCCAUCUAACAUUCAAUUUAUUUUUCAUCAUGAAAAGAGCAUUAUAGAAAAUUUUAGUUGAAUUAGUCAUGGUAACAUCGAUAAAAACAAAGAAUUAAAAAUUGAAAUAAUAUUUAAAUUUAUUUAAAUAACAAAAAAAAAUUGAAUAAAUCUACUUUUAUAUUAUUAAAUAUGUAUGUGUAAACUGUAGCCGACAUCGUCAAAAGGUGGCCGCCAGAAUACGCUGGACCAAUAACUACUUCUCAUUACAUUUCCCCGAGCGAUGUCCGUACGGCCACAACUCGACGGAUUGGCUUUCCCACCAAGAUUCGACCUUGCACCGGAAAACGAAUUCUAAAUGCCAUUUCUAUACUUCGUUUAUAAAAACAUUAUUUUAAAAUAAUAUUUCAUAAUUAUUUGUUAUGUUUAAUUUAAUUUAAACUAUUUACAAUAUUUUUUGUUUAAUUAAUUUAAAUAAAACAAAAAACAUGUAUAAUUCGAACGACGGGAGGAAAAUGCACUUAGGCAAAAACAUCUCUUAAAAAAUAAAUAAAAAUACCAAAAACAAACAACAAAGAAAUGUAAAACAACAAAAAACAUAAGCACAUAAAAAAACCAACAUUAGCAUAAGCUCA